rnacentral:rRNA from 1 species
UGCGUAGGGUGCAAGCGUUGUCCGGAAUUAUUGGGCGUAAAGAGCUCGUAGGCGGUUUGUUGCGUCGGCUGUGAAAUCCCGAGGCUCAACCUCGGGUCUGCAGUCGAUACGAGCAAACUAGAGUGUUGCAGGGGGAGACUGGAAUUCCUGGUGUAGCGGUGAAAUGCGCAGAUAUCAGGAGGAACACCGGUGGCGAAGGCGGGGUCUCUGGGCAACAACUGACGCUGAGGAGCGAAAGCGUGGGGAGCGAACAGG